GAUGAACGCUGGCGGCGUGCUUAACACAUGCAAGUCGAACGAAGCAUUUAGAACAGAUUAUUUCGGUAUGAAGUUCUUUAUGACUGAGUGGCGGACGGGUGAGUAACGCGUGGGUAACCUGCCUUGUACUGGGGGAUAGCAGCUGGAAACGGCUGGUAAUACCGCAUAAGCGCACAAUGUUGCAUGACAUGGUGUGAAAAACUCCGGUGGUAUAAGAUGGACCCGCGUCUGAUUAGCUAGUUGGUGAGAUAACAGCCCACCAAGGCGACCAUCAGGAGCCGCCCUGAGGGGGGGGCCGGCCGCAUUGGGACUGAGCCACGGACCAGACUCGUACGGGAGGAAGCAGUGGGGAAUAUUGCACAAUGGAGGAAACUCUGAUGCAGCGACGCCGCGUGAGUGAAGAAGUAAUACGUGAUGUAAAGCUCUAUCAGCAGGGAAGAUAGUGACGGUACCUGACUAAGAAGCUCCGGCUAAAUACGUGCCAGCAGCCGCCGUAA
rnacentral:rRNA from 1 species